rnacentral:rRNA from 1 species
UACGAAGGGGGCGAGCGUUGUUCGGAUUUACUGGGCGUAAAGCGCGCGUAGGCGCCCGAUCAGUCCGCUGUAAAAGUCCAGGGCUCAACCCUGGAAAGCCGGUGGAUACUGUCGGGCUAGAGUCCGGAAGAGGCGAGUGGAAUUCCUGGUGUAGCGGUGGAAUGCGCAGAUAUCAGGAAGAACACCCGUGGCGAAGGCGGCUCUCUGGGACGGUACUGACGCUGAGACGCGAAAAGCGUGGGGAGCGAACAGG